AGUGAACGCUGGCGGUAGGCCUAACACAUGCAAGUCGAACGGCAGCACAGUAAGAGCUUGCUCUUACGGGUGGCGAGUGGCGGACGGGUGAGGAAUACAUCGGAAUCUACUUUUUCGUGGGGGAUAACGUAGGGAAACUUACGCUAAUAUCGCAUACGACCUACGGGUGAAUGCAGGGGAUCUUCGGACCUUGCGCGAAUGAAUGAGCCGAUGUCGGAUUAGCUAGUUGGCGGGGUAAAGGCCCACCAAGGCGACGAUCCGUAGCUGGUCUGAGAGGAUGAUCAGCAACACUGGAACGGGGACACGGUCCAGACUCCUACGGAAGGCAGCAGUGGGGAAUAUUGGACAAUGGGCGCAAGCCUGAUCCAGCCAUACCGCGUAGGUGAAGAAGGCCUUCGGGUUGUAAAGCCUUUUUGUUGGGAAAGAAAAGCAGCAGGUUAAUACCCCGCUGUUCUGACGGUACCCAAAGAAUAAGCACCGGCUAACUUCGUG
rnacentral:rRNA from 1 species